UACGUAGGGGGCAAGCGUUGUCCGGAGUUACUGGGCGUAAAGGGCAUGUAGGCGGUCAGCCAAGUUUGCGGUGACAGCUCCCGGCUUCACUGGGAGAGCGUCGGAAAAACUGGCUGACUUGAGGGCCAGAGAGGGACAGGGAACUCCGGGUGGAGUGGUGAAAUGCGUAGAGAUCCGGAAGAACACCAAAGGCGAAGGCACUGUCCUGGCUGGUUACUGACGCUGAGGUGCGAAAGCGAGGGGAGCGAACGGG
rnacentral:rRNA from 1 species